CGGCGGCAGUUCGUUGGUCAUGGCCUCCAACUUUAAGAAGGGUAACAUGACAUCAAGUGCCCAGCGAAAAAGGAUGUGUCCUAAGCCUGAGCUUACUGAAGAGCAGAAACAGGAAAUCCGGGAAGCUUUUGAUCUCUUUGAUGCUGAUGGAACUGGGACCAUAGAUGUUAAGGAACUUAAGGUGGCAAUGAGGGCCCUGGGCUUUGAACCCAAGAAAGAAGAAAUCAAGAAGAUGAUAAGUGAAAUUGAUAAGGAAGGGACAGGGAAAAUGAAUUUUAGUGAUUUUUUGACUGUAAUGACUCAGAAAAUGUCUGAGAAAGAUACCAAAGAAGAAAUCCUGAAGGCUUUCAAGCUCUUUGAUGAUGAUGAAACUGGGACUAUAUCGUUCAAAAACCUUAAAGGUGUGGCCAAGGAGUUGGGCGAGAACCUGACUGAUGAGGAGCUGCAGGAAAUGAUUGAUGGAGCUGACCGAGAUGGAGACGGUGAAGUCAACAAGCAGGAGUUCCUGCACGUCAUGAAGAAGACCAGCCUGGACUGA